rnacentral:rRNA from 1 species
UGGGGAAUAUUGCACAAUGGGCGCAAGCCUGAUGCAGCCAUGCCGCGUGUGUGAAGAAGGCCUUCGGGUUGUAAAGCACUUUCAGCGAGGAGGAAGGUGGUGAACUUAAUACGUUCAUCAAUUGACGUUACUCGCAGAAGAAGCACCGGCUAACUCCGUGCCAGCAGCCGCGGUAAUACGGAGGGUGCAAGCGUUAAUCGGAAUUACUGGGCGUAAAGCGCACGCAGGCGGUUUGUUAAGUCAGAUGUGAAAUCCCCGGGCUCAACCUGGGAACUGCAUUUGAAACUGGCAAGCUAGAGUCUCGUAGAGGGGGGUAGAAUUCCAGGUGUAGCGGUGAAAUGCGUAGAGAUCUGGAGGAAUACCGGUGGCGAAGGCGGCCCCCCUGGACGAAGACUGACGCUCAGGUGCGAAAGCGUGGGGCAGCAAACAGGAUUAGAUACCCUGGUAGUCCACGCUGUAAACGAUGUCGAUUUGGAGGUUGUGCCCUUGAGGCGUGGCUUCCGGAGCUAACGCGUUAAAUCGACCGCCUGGGGAGUACGGCCGCAAGGUUAAAACUCAAAUGAAUUGAC